rnacentral:misc_RNA from 1 species
GGAAGGAUCAUUGACACAAUAAUCUAACCUUAUUAACACACCAUUAUGAAUACGUAUUGUCUUAUCUAGUUUUUAAACUACUUAAAUACUUUUACAAUCUUAAACAAUUAUUAUAUCCCUUUACAAGGAUUAUAAUAUUAUAUUUUUUAAUAUACUAGAUACAACUGUUAACAACGGAUAUCUAGGCUCUUACAACGAUGAAGAACGCAGCAAAAUGCGAUACGUAAUGUGAAUUGCAGAUUUCAGUGAAUCAUCAAAUCUUUGAACGCAACUUGCGCUUAGGGUUAAUUGCCCUGAGCACGUUUGUUUGAGUGUCGGUAAAUAUCAUACUUAUAAGUAUAUGAGUUUCUGCUAUCCUCGGAUGGUUGUUACUUUAAAGAUAAUUAUACCUUGAUUUUAAUCAAUACUACUAUUAUGUAGCAAUGUUCUUUUGAACAAAACCUUACAUUCUAUUAGUUUGGCUUUGAUCAUUUUAUUCCUAUCCAUUAUUCGACCUCAAAUCAAGCGAGAUUACCGGCUGAACUUAAGCAUAUCACUAAGCCGAGGAAAAGAAACUAACAAGGAUACCCUUAGUAACGGCGAGUGAAGCGGGUAGAGCUCAAUCUUAAAAUCUAUGUCUCAUAUGGGGCAUCGAAUUGUAGUUUUUGGAUAAUUUUUCCCUCUUCUUAACAAUAAGUUAAAGUCUCUUGGAAUAGAGUGUCAUAGAAGGUGAGAACCCUGUGAAUAGUCUAUUGAAAAGGAGGAAUUGCGUUUAAUUAUCUUAGAGUCGGGUUGUUUGAGAAUGCAGCCUAAAUUGGGUGGUAAAUCUCAUCUAAAGCUAAAUAUUGGUAAGAGACCGAUAGCAAACAAGUACCGUGAGGGAAAGAUGAAAAGAACUUUGAAAAGAGAGUUAAAAGUACUUGAAAUUGUUAACAGGGAACCGCUUAAAUUCUAAUCUAUUCAUACUUAUAAAUCAAUCUUACCAAGGAGGUAAAGCUUACAAAGAGGUAAUUACGGUUGCCCUUUGUGGGUGUACACUUUGAGGAAAGGUGCACUUUAUAGGAAUGAAAAUCAACAUCAGUUUUUACUCUAUUAGAAAAAUGAGAGGAAGGUAGUACCUAUGCUCUCGGGUAUAUGUAUGUUAUAGACUCUUAUUGAAUAAUAAGGUAAAGACUGAGGAAUCAAUAUACUCCUCUAAGGAUUGUGAAUUGAGGUUAUUAGUUGUUAUAUAUGUGUAGACUGUAACAGUGUAUAUGUAUAUGGUGGUUAAAGAGCUUCAUAACAAAAGUAUAUUAGGGAUGUUGAUCUGUACAGAAGAAGGAUUUAAUCGACCCGUCUUGAAACACGGACCAAGGAGUCUAACAUGUAUGCGAGUAAAUAGAGUGAUAAAACUCUUCAUGCAAAAUGAAAGUAAAAUCAUGGUAGGAACUGUAUCUCCGGAUAUAAUGCACUAUCAACCGACUUGGAUGGGGGUAACCUCUGAAAGGAUUGAGUAAGAGCAUUUAUGUUAGGACCCGAAAGAUGGUGAACUAUGCCUGAGUAGGGCAAAGUCAGAGGAAACUCUGAUGGAGGCUCGAAGGGGUUCUGACGUGCAAAUCGAUCUUCAAACUUGGGUAUAGGGGCGAAAGACUAAUCGAACCAUCUAGUAGCUGGUUCCCUC